ACUCGUACGGGAGGCAGCAGUGGGGAAUAUUGGACAAUGGGGGCAACCCUGAUCCAGCAAUGCCGCGUGAGUGAUGAAGGCCUUCGGGUUGUAAAGCUCUUUUGGCGGGGACGAUGAUGACGGUACCCGCAGAAUAAGCCCCGGCUAACUUCGUGCCAGCAGCCGCGGUAAUACGAAGGGGGCCAGCGUUGUUCGGAAUUACUGGGCGUAAAGGGCGCGUAGGCGGUCCUGAUCGUUGGAUGUGAAAGGCCUGGGCUCAACCUGGGAACUGCAUCCGAUACGGCGGGACUGGAGUGUGGGAGAGGUUGGUGGAAUUCCCAGUGUAGAGGUGAAAUUCGUAGAUAUUGGGAAGAACACCGGUGGCGAAGGCGGCCAACUGGACCACAACUGACGCUGAGGCGCGAAAGCGUGGGGAGCAAACAGGAUUAGAUACCCUGGUAGUCCACGCUGUAAACGAUGCGUGCUAGACGUUGGGCACCCUAGGUGUCCGGUGUCGUCGCUAACGCUUUAAGCACGCCGCCUGGGGAGUACGGCCGCAAGGUUAAAACUCAAAGGAAUUGACG
rnacentral:rRNA from 1 species